GUGGGGAAUCUUCCGCAAUGGACGAAAGUCUGACGGAGCGACGCCGCGUGAGUGAAGAAGGCCUUCGGGUCGUAAAGCUCUGUCAUCAGGGACGAACGGCCGGUGGAGUGGAAAGCCACCGGAUUGACGGUACCUGAGAAGGAAGCCACGGCUAACUACGUGCCAGCAGCCGCGGUAAUACGUAGGUGGCAAGCGUUGUCCGGAAUUAUUGGGCGUAAAGCGCGCGCAGGUGGGAUCUUAAGUCCAUUUUGAAAGUUCGGAGCUCAACUCCGUGAUGGGAUGGAAACUGGGAUUCUUGAGUACCGGAGAGGAAAGCGGAAUUCCCCGUGUAGCGGUGAAAUGCGUAGAUAUGGGGAGGAACACCAGUGGCGAAGGCGGCUUUCUGGACGGUGUCUGACACUGAGGCGCGAAAGCCAGGGGAGCGAACGGGAUUAGAAACCCCAGUAGUCC
rnacentral:rRNA from 1 species